AGUGAACGCUGGCGGCGUGCUUAACACAUGCAAGUCGAACGAGAAACGGAUUUAGCUUGCUAAAUUGCAGUCUAAGUGGCGCACGGGUGAGUAAUGUAUAGGUAAUAUGCCUCUUACUAAGGGAUAACAAUUGGAAACGAUUGCUAAUACCUUAUAUGCCUUUAAUACGGAAGUAUGCAAGGGAAAGAUUUAUUGGUAAGAGAUUAGCCUGUAUGGUAUCAGCUUGUUGGUGAGGUAAUGGCUCACCAAGGCUAUGACGCCUAACUGGUUUGAGAGGAUGAUCAGUCACACUGGAACUGAGACACGGUCCAGACUCCUACGGGAGGCAGCAGUGGGGAAUAUUGCACAAUGGACGAAAGUCUGAUGCAGCAACGCCGCGUGGAGGAUGACACAUUUCGGUGCGUAAACUCCUUUUAUAUAGGAAGAUAAUGACGGUACUAUAUGAAUAAGCACCGGCUAACUCCGUGCCAGCAGCCGCAGUAA
rnacentral:rRNA from 1 species